rnacentral:rRNA from 1 species
CACGUAGGGUGCGAGCGUUGUCCGGAAUUAUUGGGCGUAAAGAGCUCGUAGGUGGUUUGUCGCGUUGUUCGUGAAAUCCCACGGCUUAACUGUGGGCGUGCGGGCGAUACGGGCAGACUGGAGUACUGCAGGGGAGACUGGAAUUCCUGGUGUAGCGGUGGAAUGCGCAGAUAUCAGGAGGAACACCGGUGGCGAAGGCGGGUCUCUGGGCAGUAACUGACGCUGAGGAGCGAAAGCGUGGGGAGCGAACAGG